ACUCCUACGGGAGGCAGCAGUGGGGAAUCUUAGACAAUGGGCGCAAGCCUGAUCUAGCCAUGCCGCGUGAGCGAUGAAGGCCUUAGGGUUGUAAAGCUCUUUCAGUGGGGAAGAUAAUGACUGUACCCACAGAAGAAGCCCCGGCUAACUCCGUGCCAGCAGCCGCGGUAAUACGGAGGGGGCUAGCGUUGUUCGGAAUUACUGGGCGUAAAGCGCACGUAGGCGGACCGGAAAGUCAGAGGUGAAAUCCCAGGGCUCAACCUUGGAACUGCCUUUGAAACUCCUGGUCUUGAGGUCGAGAGAGGUGAGUGGAAUUCCGAGUGUAGAGGUGAAAUUCGUAGAUAUUCGGAGGAACACCAGUGGCGAAGGCGGCUCACUGGCUCGAUACUGACGCUGAGGUGCGAAAGCGUGGGGAGCAAACA
rnacentral:rRNA from 1 species